rnacentral:rRNA from 1 species
UUAAGCGACUAAGCGUACACGGUGGAUGCCCUGGCAGUCAGAGGCGAUGAAGGACGUGCUAAUCUGCGAAAAGCGUCGGUAAGGUGAUAUGAACCGUUAUAACCGGCGAUGUCCGAAUGGGGAAACCCAGUGUGAUUCGUCACACUAUCGUUAACUGAAUACAUAGGUUAACGAGGCGAACCGGGGGAACUGAAACAUCUAAGUACCCCGAGGAAAAGAAAUCAACCGAGAUUCCCCCAGUAGCGGCGAGCGAACGGGGAGCAGCCCAGAGUCUGAAUCAGCUUGUGUGUUAGUGGAACGGUCUGGAAAGUCCGACGGUACAGGGUGAUAGUCCCGUACACCAAAAUGCACAGGCUGUGAACUCGAAGAGUAGGGCGGGACACGUGGUAUCCUGUCUGAAUAUGGGGGGACCAUCCUCCAAGGCUAAAUACUCCUGACUGACCGAUAGUGAACCAGUACCGUGAGGGAAAGGCGAAAAGAACCCCGGCGAGGGGAGUGAAAAAGAACCUGAAACCGUGUACGUACAAGCAGUGGGAGCACCUUCGGGUGUGACUGCGUACCUUUUGUAUAAUGGGUCAGCGACUUAUAUUCUGUAGCAAGGUUAACCGUAUAGGGGAGCCGCAGGGAAACCGAGUCUUAACUGGGCGUUAAGUUGCAGGGUAUAGACCCGAAACCCGGUGAUCUAGCCAUGGGCAGGUUGAAGGUUGGGUAACACUAACUGGAGGACCGAACCGACUAAUGUUGAAAAAUUAGCGGAUGACUUGUGGCUGGGGGUGAAAGGCCAAUCAAACCGGGAGAUAGCUGGUUCUCCCCGAAAGCUAUUUAGGUAGCGCCUCGUGAACUCAUCUUCGGGGGUAGAGCACUGUUUCGGCUAGGGGGUCAUCCCGACUUACCAACCCGAUGCAAACUACGAAUACCGAAGAAUGUUAUCACGGGAGACACACGGCGGGUGCUAACGUCCGUCGUGAAGAGGGAAACAACCCAGACCGCCAGCUAAGGUCCCAAAGUCAUGGUUAAGUGGGAAACGAUGUGGGAAGGCACAGACAGCCAGGAUGUUGGCUUAGAAGCAGCCAUCAUUUAAAGAAAGCGUAAUAGCUCACUGGUCGAGUCGGCCUGCGCGGAAGAUGUAACGGGGCUAAACCAUGCACCGAAGCUGCGGCAGCGACACUAUGUGUUGUUGGGUAGGGGAGCGUUCUGUAAGCCUGCGAAGGUGACCUGUGAGGGUUGCUGGAGGUAUCAGAAGUGCGAAUGCUGACAUAAGUAACGAUAAAGCGGGUGAAAAGCCCGCUCGCCGGAAGACCAAGGGUUCCUGUCCAACGUUAAUCGGGGCAGGGUGAGUCGACCCCUAAGGCGAGGCCGAAAGGCGUAGUCGAUGGGAAACAGGUUAAUAUUCCUGUACUUGGUGUUACUGCGAAGGGGGGACGGAGAAGGCUAUGUUAGCCGGGCGACGGUUGUCCCGGUUUAAGCAUGUAGGCUGAUUGUCCAGGCAAAUCCGGAUAAUCAAGGCUGAGGUGUGAUGACGAGGCACUACGGUGCUGAAGUAACAAAUGCCCUGCUUCCAGGAAAAGCCUCUAAGCAUCAGGUAACAUUAAAUCGUACCCCAAACCGACACAGGUGGUCAGGUAGAGAAUACCAAGGCGCUUGAGAGAACUCGGGUGAAGGAACUAGGCAAAAUGGUGCCGUAACUUCGGGAGAAGGCACGCUGGUGUGUAGGUGAAGUCCCUGCGGAUGGAGCUGAGACCAGUCGAAGAUACCAGCUGGCUGCAACUGUUUAUUAAAAACACAGCACUGUGCAAACACGAAAGUGGACGUAUACGGUGUGACGCCUGCCCGGUGCCGGAAGGUUAAUUGAUGGGGUUAUCCGUAAGGAGAAGCUCUUGAUCGAAGCCCCGGUAAACGGCGGCCGUAACUAUAACGGUCCUAAGGUAGCGAAAUUCCUUGUCGGGUAAGUUCCGACCUGCACGAAUGGCGUAAUGAUGGCCAGGCUGUCUCCACCCGAGACUCAGUGAAAUUGAACUCGCUGUGAAGAUGCAGUGUACCCGCGGCAAGACGGAAAGACCCCGUGAACCUUUACUAUAGCUUGACACUGAACAUUGAGCCUUGAUGUGUAGGAUAGGUGGGAGGCUUUGAAGCGUGGACGCCAGUCUGCGUGGAGCCAACCUUGAAAUACCACCCUUUAAUGUUUGAUGUUCUAACGUUGGCCCCUGACCGGGGUUGCGGACAGUGUCUGGUGGGUAGUUUGACUGGGGCGGUCUCCUCCCAAAGCGUAACGGAGGAGCACGAAGGUUAGCUAAUCCUGGUCGGACAUCAGGAGGUUAGUGCAAUGGCAUAAGCUAGCUUGACUGCGAGCGUGACGGCGCGAGCAGGUGCGAAAGCAGGUCAUAGUGAUCCGGUGGUUCUGAAUGGAAGGGCCAUCGCUCAACGGAUAAAAGGUACUCCGGGGAUAACAGGCUGAUACCGCCCAAGAGUUCAUAUCGACGGCGGUGUUUGGCACCUCGAUGUCGGCUCAUCACAUCCUGGGGCUGAAGUAGGUCCCAAGGGUAUGGCUGUUCGCCAUUUAAAGUGGUACGCGAGCUGGGUUUAGAACGUCGUGAGACAGUUCGGUCCCUAUCUGCCGUGGGCGCUGGAGAAUUGAGGGGGGCUGCUCCUAGUACGAGAGGACCGGAGUGGACGCAUCACUGGUGUUCGGGUUGUCAUGCCAAUGGCACUGCCCGGUAGCUAAAUGCGGAAGAGAUAAGUGCUGAAAGCAUCUAAGCACGAAACUUGCCCCGAGAUGAGUUCUCCCUGAGACUUUAAGUCUCCUGAAGGAACGUUAAAGACGAUGACGUUGAUAGGCCGGGUGUGUAAGCGCAGCGAUGCGUUGAGCUAACCGGUACUAAUGAACCGUGAGGCUUAACCUU